GUGCUUGCCUGGCAGGGGGGAUGCCCUGAUGACAGUGGUGCUCUUCCCGGGUGCUGCUUGUCCAUUGUACUCCAGUUGUGCUAACCCCUGUGGUUUUCCAAAGUGUGGGAAACUGGGCUGCAUAAUUUGCGGUAGUGGGGAAUUGAUUUUGUGCUCUCCCCUG